GCGCCUGUAACUCAGUGGAUAACGCAUCUGUUUUGUAAGUAGGAGAUCAUGGGUUCGACCACUGUCUAGCGCG
rnacentral:tRNA from 1 species